UACGUAGGGUGCGAGCGUUAAUCGGAAUUACUGGGCGUAAAGCGUGCGUAGGUGGUGAGUUAAGUCUGUCGUGAAAGCCCCGGGCUCAACCCGGGAACUGCGUCCGAUACUGGAAGGCUUGAAUCCGGGAGAGGGAUGCGGAAUUCCAGGUGUAGCGGUGAAAUGCGUAGAUAUCUGGAGGAAUACCGGUGGCGAAGGCGGCAUCCUGGACCAACACUGACACUGAGGAGCGAAAGCCAGGGGAGCAAACGGG
rnacentral:rRNA from 1 species